rnacentral:rRNA from 1 species
CCUACGGGAGGCAGCAGUGGGGGAUAUUGCACAAUGGGGGGAACCCUGAUGCAGCGACGCCGCGUGGGUGAAGAAGCGCCUCGGCGCGUAAAGCCCUGUCAGCAGGGAAGAAAAUGACGGUACCUGAAGAAGAAGCCCCGGCUAACUACGGGCCAGCAGCCGCGGUAAUACGUAGGGGGCAAGCGUUAUCCGGAUUUACUGGGUGGAAAGGGGGCGCAGACGGCGAUGCAAGCCAGGAGUGAAAGCCCGGGGCCCAACCCCGGGACUGCUCUUGGAACUGCGUGGCUGGAGUGCAGGAGGGGCAGGCGGAAUUCCUGGUGUAGCGGUGAAAUGCGUAGAUAUCAGGAGGAACACCGGUGGCGAAGGCGGCCUGCUGGACUGCAACUGACGUUGAGGCCCGAAAGCGUGGGGAGCAAACAGGAUUAGAUACCCCAGUAGUC